rnacentral:pre_miRNA from 1 species
CCAACCUUAGCGAGGGUCUUGGUGGUCUAGUGGGUAUGUUCGUUUCUUACUGGCCUGCUAAGUCCCAAGCUGUGGUGG